UCCUUCAUCUAUGACUCCCUUGGGCCUGACCCACCGAAAGAAGCCAGCAGGUCAUGAUUUUGGUUUCUGAAAUGCCUCUAAUUACUGCCCAGCUGCAUGUUUGGAACUCCAUCAAACAUAAGCAUCAGAGCCAUUAGCCUGAGAACCUGGACUAGCCUGGGGACAUGAGCCUAUGUUUGAGAAGCAGCAUUGGGUGGCACAUGGGAUCUCUUUGAGACUCAGGAGUCACUUCAGCUUCCAGAUGAUGGCUCUGUCUGCAAGAAUGGAAGCAAGGAGAGCCGUUAGAAGACUAUUCCAUUAAAUAAAGAGGAGAAGCUUGGUUCCCUCACAUGGGUGUGGUGUGAAGAUUUGCUCAAAGCCAAAAGGGAACCCAGUUGACAGCUUUCUUCCUUCUUCCUGUCUGGAAUAAGUUUGAGAAUUGGAAAGAAAGAGGUAACAUGAUCUCUGUUUGCAAUAGAUAAUGUAACAAUGUAAAAGGAAACCCUAAAAGAAUCAUUCUAAAAACUAAAAUUAAGAGACUUGAUUAAGUAGCAAUGUAAAAAAAAUUAAAUAAAAAUCAGUAGUCUUUUGUAUACCCAAAGAGUAACCAACUAGGUGAUAUUGAGGAAAGGGAAAUCACAGCUGUAGUUGUAAUAAAAAAGAUUUUUAAAACUUAGGAAUAAACUUAAAAUAUUUACUCUUGAAAGAUGCAAAAGUAGACUUGAAAAAAUGUAAAAGCAUACCUUGUUCAUGAAUUGGACAACUCUACAUCACACAUAUGUUAAUUCUUCUCAAGUUAGUAAAAAAAUAUAUAUAUGUAUAAUGUGAUUCCAUUAAAAAUAUUGAGAUUUUUUUCUCCUAAAAUAGACUCUUGAUUCUAAAGUUAUUUUGGGAAAUGAACAAGCAAAGAAAGGUAAGAAAACCCCAAAAAGAAGAGAGGAACUAGCUCUGUAAGUUGUUAAAACAUUUUAUAAAGCCCUUAUAAAUAAAGAAGUAUGUUCACGGAUACAUAACUAGAUAUAGAGAAUUAUAGAAUAGAAUAAGAAAUUCAAAGUAGAGCAAUUAUAUGUGAAAAGUGGCACCUAAAAUCACUGGUGAAAAUGUACUAUUUUUAAUAAAUGUUUUUGGCAUAACUGGAUAGCCAUUUGGGAAAAAGUAAAAUUGAAUCCAUGGCUCAGGCUGGAUAUGAGAAUGAAAUCCAAAUAAUCCAAAUAUCUAAAUGUAAAAAGUAAAACUACACAAGAAAACAAGGAUUUGUUUUUUUAUAAACUGAGCCUUUCCAAUUAUAACUACAAAUCCAGAAGCAUCAAAGAAUGUCCUAAAACAUUGACAAACUUGACUACAUAAAAACAAAAAAACUUUUUCAAAGCAAAUGCCACUAAACAAUUUAAAAACCUAGAAGGAAAUAUUUGUAAUUUACAUCACUAAAUUAUAUUAUAAUCGCCUAAUUGAUGAAGCGCUCUUAAAAUCUGGAAAGAGAAAAGCCAAAUCCCACUGGGGAAAGAUGUGAACAGAGUUUUAAAGAAAAAACCAAUGUCUUGGUGGCAGUCGUGGUGGUGGUGGAUAUGGUGGCAGUGGAGAUGGCUAUAAUUUGGUAAUGAUGGAAGCAGUUUUGGAGGUGGUGGAAGCGACAAUGAUUUUGGCACUUACAACAAUCAAUCUUCAAAUUUUGGACCCAUGAAAGGAGGAAACUUUGGAGGCAGAAGUUCUGGCCCCUGUGGUGGUAGAGGCCAAUACUUUGCUGAACCAUGAAACUAAGAUGGCCAUGGCAGUUCCAGCAGCAGCAGUAGCUAUGGCAGUGGCGGAAGGUUUUAAUUAUUACUGCCAAGGAGGAGUCUGCUACUACAGGCUUGUCAGCUCUUAAAAAACCAGAAGCUCAUCAGUCCAAGCUCAUGGCUAAAAGGAACAUCUUUAAGAGGACCUUUAUCUGAGCCACUCACUGCUCACAUUGUUUUAACUGCCAUGCAGUAAUCAUUAGCUGCUAUGCAGCUGAAAUUAAUCAAUUCAGUUUUGUGAAUGGACUUUGGAAAAUAAAAAUGCAUUUAACUUGGAAGUAAAAAAAAAAAAAGAAAAGAAAAA
rnacentral:lncRNA from 1 species